rnacentral:rRNA from 1 species
CCCGCCCGGGAACUACAAGCGCAAGCUUAAAACCCAAAGGACUUGACGGUGCCCCACCCCUCUAGAGGAGCCUGUUCUAUAAUCGAUACCCCCCGAUACACCUCACCACCCCUUGCCCACAGCCUGUAUACCUCCGUCGCAAGCUUACCAUGUGAAUGCACAAGUGAGCUAAAAGGUCUAACACCCCCACGUCAGGUCAAGGUGCAGCCCACGGACUGGAAAGAAAUGGGCUACAAUUUCUACCCUAGAACACACAGAACACUACCUGAAACAGUUACUAAAGGCGGAUUUAGCAGUAAAGAGAAAAUAGAGAGUUCCCUUUAACCUGGCCCUGGGACGCGUACACACCGCCCGUCACCCUCUUCAAAACACCACGCAAUGUAACUAACACCCUUCCCCCCCCCAGAAGAGGCAAGUCGUAACAUGGUAAGUGUACUGGAAAGUGCACUUGGAACAAAAUGUAACUUAACCAAAGUCCCUUGUUUACACCAAGGAUCUGUCAAGGAUAUCUGACCAUUUUAGACCUAAAAUCUAGCCCAACAAACCCGAAUAACCCAAUUUCCCAAUAGACGCUCAAUAAAACUACCCCAGCAAGUAGGACGGUCAAAAAGCACCUGGAGCCUUAACAUUAAUACCGCAAGGGAAUACUGAAAUAACUUAAAACACCACAAAAAGGACCCCCCCCCGUACCUUUUGCAUCAUGGUCUAGCAA